AGCGGUUCGCGAGAACCGCUGGAUAACCUGGAAGUCUUAGGUCGGCUUCCGGAUUAUCUCCUCAUCAGGCUAAUCACGGUUUUUGACCCGGAUUUUUUCCGGGUCUUUUUUUU
rnacentral:scRNA from 1 species